UCUGAAAAUGCCACGAGAGCAGUAACACUGCAUUAUUCUUCACCAACAUGUUCUCAGAAACCAGGAUUGUUCCUGGCGCUUGGUGCCUCUGUCAGAGCCGCAUCUCCGGGUUGCGAGGCAGCCUCCACGCCCUGCAAGGCCCCGUCUCCGUGUACCAUUUCUAUCUUCUCCCACACAAGCUGGCUGAGACUUCCUUCUCCAAGACACAAGUCACAAGUAGGUGAAGAGAGCAGAGAAUCUAAAAGGCCUCAUCUGGGUCACCGCCGCCAGAUCUGCCAUGUUGGACAGAGGGCCCCCUGGCCUCGGCAGCCUCAGGGGAAGGGGCCAGGCUUGGGCCCGGGCAGCUGGGGUGCUCACCUCUCCUUGGGCAGGCGGAAGCGAGGCUGCCGGUGGCAGCGCUUGCAGAGGUUGAAGAGCCUGCGGACAAUCCGAUGAGGAACGGAGGUAUUCUGAAGCUGCAUGGCUCACAUGAGGUCACAAAGCUGGUCAGUAACAGAGUGUCUCAGUCUUUGGGGACUGCUCUCAGAAAAUACAGACCGAGUGGCUUAUAAACAACAGAAGUUUAUUGCUCACGGUUCAAGAAGCUGGAAGUCCAAGAUCAGAAUGCCACCACGGUCAGGUUCUGGGGAAGGCCCUCUCUGGGUCGAGUGUGGCUCACUUCUCACUGUGUCUUCACAUGGCCGAAGGUGAGAAGGAUCUCUCUGGGGCCUCCGUUAUAAGAGCACUAAUCCCUAAUCACCUCCCAAAGGCCCCCACCUCCCUGGGCAUUAGAUUUUCAACGUAUGAAUUUGGGGGGGGGGGGCGGGACGCAAACAUUCAAACCAGAACCCAGAACAAGGGUUCAAAACCAAGCCCUAAAUCUGCAUCUCAAGGUAACCUUGCUAUUAGCUAUACGUGUAACAAGCGAGGACUAGUAUGUGCUGGGUGCCUCCUAGAACUAUUCUACGUACUUCAUUCAUCCAGCAAACAUUCCUUGUGCACCUGUGCGCAGGCAAUCUGUAGCAAACGUGUAUCAAACAAACCAGGCAAGUCCUAACGCCCUCAUAUAUAUCCACAUUAGCUCAUUAAGUCCUCGUGACGCAUGUCUUUGGUAGGGAUCACGUCCAUUUGCACAGAUAACAAGAAGACAACCACCUGAGACGUGAGGUUGUGAGAUAACCUGGUAGGGGCCAAGGACACAGGGAAGUGUGGGCCCGUCAGCUGCUCACCUGACUCCUCAAACUGCCGGUUGUGAGUCACCCAAGAGUCCUGGAUCUGCAGCAGGCUGUCCUCCAUGGCCUGGAUGUCAGCAUCCGGACAGUUGCAUUCUGGGAAGGUGGGGCUGCACUUGCACCAACAGUCAUUCUCCUUGCAGACGAGCUCCCCCUCAGAGCUGCAUGUGAUAUAGCUGAGUGCCGCCGCCACAAAGCGCUCACGCAGGAUCUGCGAAAGCUCUGCCAACAAUCAAUCAACCAAUCAACGAGUAUUUAUUGAGCAGCCACUGUUGAAUUCCAUACAAUUCAUCAAACAUUCACAGAACGCCUUUCCUGGAGUUCUUCAAGGAGUCGGCCCUGAUACCCCUGACCUUCUGUCCUGGCUCCAAGAUACCUCUGCCCUGCAGCAGGCACACGCGUUGCAGUUUUCCAUCCUUUACUGAGGACGUGGGGUGAAAGUCUGGGUCCUCCACACACCAAACGCUCCACAGGGGGAACUACAACCUGUGGGGAAGGCAGGUGCAUAUGCAACGGGCCGAGAUGCAUCCAAGUGGAGCGGAAGCUAUGUGUCAGUGAGCGCUGAGGAAAACACAGCUCUAAACAAAGGGAACGUGAGGGAAGAAGGGCAGAGGAGACUCAACUGAGCUGGUCCUUAAAGGUGGGCACCAGGUGCUGAAUAAUGUCUCUGUAUAGAGCGAGUGGGUGAUUGGCUAGCUGUCAAACUACAGCAGGGAGGCAGCGCCAGGCUUCUUUCAAGGAGUACAUUGCACCCCUCAACAGAGAAAACUCCAGGUUAAUCAGCUUAGUGGAAGAUGAAUUAUCAUCCCACAUUCCAUGUGUGAUUGGAGGAGUUCCAAAAAGAAACUUCCAAGGAUGGCGGCCCCACUUCUGGGGAGAUGGGCAAUGGCUCUAGUUCUGGAAAGUGCAUCCCCAGGCACUACGAUAGAUGUGGCUUUGGGUACCUUCCUGCCUCUCACUGUGCCACCUGCAGACUUUGCCAAAGAGAUGAGUCCGGCAAGGACUCUGCUUCUUGUGUAAUCAAGGAAAUAGGAUCAAUCAGAAGGGGACAUCCGCAUCCCGACCCCCAACGUCUACAUCCUACUACAUGUGUCCUGCGCAUUUGAAUGCCUCCUGCUACAAAGGAUGAGAUGUUUAUGCUCCUGUGUAAGAGCCACCCCUCCCGCCUGCCCAGUUGCUCUUGCAGUUGUCUCCUAUCACUUCGGAAUCAUCAUUUUCUCCCCCUCUCCUGAGUCAUUUCAAUCAACAUGCCAAGAUUCUUGAGUAUCUCUCAUCUUAAAAACAAAAAUUCCACCUCUCUUGACCUUAUACCCUCUCCAGCUAUCACCCAUUUUUUUCUGUUUGCCUUUACAGCAAAACCCUUAAAGAAUUGUCUCUACUCCUCUGGUUCCUCGCUUUGUUUUCUCUCUUGAACCUUCUGCACUCAGCCUUUUGUACCUGUCAUGACACUGAAACCACUCUUAUCUAGGUUGCUAGUUACCUCCAUGUUGCCAAAUUGAAGGUCCAUUCUCUAUCUGACUGUUUAACAGCAUCUAACGCAGUUGUCUGCUCCUUCUUCUAUGAAACACUUGCUUCAUAUCGUCUUGUGAUGUGGCUUUGAUUCUCUUCAUACCUUUCUGCCUGGUGUCAGCCUUCUCUGUUGGAUCCUUCUCCUAGUCCCCAUUUCUGAAUAUUGAUGUGCUUCACAACUCAGCCUUAGGGCUGGGCAGCCUUAGGGCUGCUCUACCAGCUACAUUCACUCCUCAAGUGAUCUCAUCCUUUCUCAUGAUAUUAAAUACCACCUACAUGUGUGUAUAUAUUUGUAUGCCAAAAUUACAUCUUCAGUCAUGACCUUUCUCUCUGAAGCCUAGUGUUUAUAUUCAACUGCCUGUUAGAUACCUCUACUUGGAUGUCUAAUAGGAAUGUCAAAUUCACUGUAUCUAAAACCAAGCUCUUGAUUUGCUUCUUUCAGAUUGGCGUCUGCCCCACUGUUGUCCUUCUCAGUAAAUGCAAUCACUGUUCAUCUUGCUGCUCAUGCCAAAAAUCUUGCAGUUAAUCUUGAGUCCUUUCUUCUAAUUUAUUAGCUAAGCCUGUAGGCUCUACCAUCAAAAUAUAUCUUGGCAUCUGCCAAAUUUUCACUACCUCUAUACAGCCAGCUUUGUCUGAGCGAGCCACCAUUAUUUCUUCCCUUGACCAUUGCAAUAGUCACUGCAUCAGUCUCCAGGAUCCCUCUUUCUCCUCUCUUCCCUGAUCAGUAAUGCCCUCAUGAUCUUCACAUCCUUUAUUGAUCUCCGUCUCAGGCAAUCUACCGUCAGGGGGAGAUAAAAUUUUCUCUGCAGCCUCAUCUCCUACUUCAUCCCUCUUGUAAUGGCACUCCUGCUACAUUAUGCAGUGUUUCUGGAUCGUAACAUGCACACUCCUGCUUCAGGGCAAUUGCACCUGCUCUCACUCCCAUGUGGCUUGCUCCCUCCCUUCAUUCAGAUGUCUGCUUAAAUGGCAUUUUUUCACACAGGUCUUCCCUAAAGUGUGGUGUCCCUAUCCCUCUCCAUCCUCUUGCCUGGCUCCACUUCUUCAUACCAUUAAUCCCACCUGACAUUAUAUUACAUCUCCAUCACUAGAAUUUAAGCUUCAUGAGGGCAGGGACUUUAUAUGUAUUCUUCACUCUGGGAUUCUCAGUACCUAGAGCAGUACCUGACACGUAAUAGGUGUUCAGUAAAUAUCUACUGAACCAAUAAACAAAUGAACAAAACCAUCUAAAUUCUGGGUGUGAUAAAAGCGGAAUA